rnacentral:rRNA from 1 species
GGGUUGUGAGGUUAAGCGACUAAGCGUACACGGUGGAUGCCCUGGCAGUCAGAGGCGAUGAAGGGCGUGCUAAUCUGCGAUAAGCGCCGGUAAGGUGAUAUGAACCGUUAUAACCGGCGAUACCCGAAUGGGGAAACCCAGUGUGAUUCGUCACACUAUCAUUACGUGAAUACAUAGCGUAAUGAAGCGAACCGGGGGAACUGAAACAUCUAAGUACCCCGAGGAAAAGAAAUCAACCGAGAUUCCCCCAGUAGCGGCGAGCGAACGGGGAGGAGCCCAGAGCCUGAAUCAGCAUGUGUGUUAGUGGAAGCGUCUGGAAAGGCGCGCGAUACAGGGUGACAGCCCCGUACACAAAAGCGCAUGUGUUGUGAGCUCGAUGAGUAGGGCGGGACACGUGGUAUCCUGUCUGAAUAUGGGGGGACCAUCCUCCAAGGCUAAAUACUCCUGACUGACCGAUAGUGAACCAGUACCGUGAGGGAAAGGCGAAAAGAACCCCGGCGAGGGGAGUGAAAAAGAACCUGAAACCGUGUACGUACAAGCAGUGGGAGCACCCUUUGGGGUGUGACUGCGUACCUUUUGUAUAAUGGGUCAGCGACUUAUAUUCUGUAGCAAGGUUAACCGAAUAGGGGAGCCGGAGGGAAACCGAGUCUUAAUUGGGCGUUAAGUUGCAGGGUAUAGACCCGAAACCCGGUGAUCUAGCCAUGGGCAGGUUGAAGGUUGGGUAACACUAACUGGAGGACUGAACCGACUAAUGUUGAAAAAUUAGCGGAUGACCUGUGGCUGGGGGUGAAAGGCCAAUCAAACCGGGAGAUAGCUGGUUCUCCCCGAAAGCUAUUUAGGUAGCGCCUCGUGAAUUCAUCUCCGGGGGUAGAGCACUGUUUCGGCUAGGGGGCCAUCCCGGCUUACCAACCCGAUGCAAACUGCGAAUACCGGAGAAUGUUAUCACGGGAGACACACGGCGGGUGCUAACGUCCGUCGUGAAGAGGGAAACAACCCAGACCGCCAGCUAAGGUCCCAAAGUCAUGGUUAAGUGGGAAACGAUGUGGGAAGGCCCAGACAGCCAGGAUGUUGGCUUAGAAGCAGCCAUCAUUUAAAGAAAGCGUAAUAGCUCACUGGUCGAGUCGGCCUGCGCGGAAGAUGUAACGGGGCUAAACUAUGCACCGAAGCUGCGGCAGCGA